AGUCAUUUGUGAUCAACAUGGUUCACAGGUUAUUUACUAUCACACUUAACCUAAGUUAUUGGUUAAAAAGUAUAUGAAUAUACAACUGUUGUAGCAUAGUUUGUGCUUUUUAACUGCCUGUGUCAGUGUGUCUUUUAACAAUGUCCUGACAUUUACCUAAGGAUUCCCCACUAGUUAUGUUCAAAUGGAAAUAGGAAUGAUACGAGGCAAAGUGAAUUGUGAAAUUCCAUUCGCCCAUUAAGUGUUGAUAAUAAUUUAUUGAAAAUAUGUUUUCUAUGUAAUAAAUUAUUUAAAGUUUUGUGUUGUCAAUAUAUUAUUAAACUAUUAUAUUUUUAAUAUAUCAAAAAUCCAAUUUAUGAGUGUUAAAUUUUGCAUGUUGAUAAUCUAUAGUUAAGAGUAAUAGUAAUAGUAAGUAAUAAAGUAUAGAUGUUCAAAUACGAAUAAUUGUUUUAUAUAUAAGUAAAAGUAAUACUAAAAUUUAUAACUUCUGAAGCUGGAUUAUAUUAAAAUUUAUAUCUUUUGAAGUUGGGCUGAUGACGGAAAGCCACCAAUGUCCCAUUACCUUAGGCUGAGCAGAAGUUUUCUGUCCACAUUGAGGCAGGAUCAAAUUGACAUCUCUAAAUGGAAGUUUAGAUUUGCAUGAUAAUAUACGUUAUUUAGGACCAAGCAAAUGACCCAAGAUUUUCAAAUUUGCUUUAAUGACAUCAUUUUGGUGAGUUUUCUUAAAACCAGUCUGCAAAAUCAAAAUUUUUGAUAUUUUGCAAUUCUUGAUAUAUAUCAAAUUCCAUGUCCUUUUUUAUGGGAGCCGUACUUGUUGUAUCAUUGACAAAAUAUUAAAUUUCACUUCUGUUAGUUCUUGUCGAGGUCGAGGCUGAUAAAUUAGUUCAUCUCCCUCCCUCUUUCUCCUCUUCUACGCAUGGGCUUUGCUGAGGCAUAUUCUGUGGCGUCAUGCAGUCAGUUCAUUGUGCGGAGACAGUGCAUCGUCACUUGCCUCCAUGUGUCCUCCUGUGAUUUUUGCUGUUGUUAUUGUGUGUAUGGGCAUGUAUGGUGCGAACUAAUUCAUAAUGUUAAUGCAGGCUCGUUUUCUUCUGGCAAAGUUGAAUCCGUCUGCUACAUACAAUACUGAUUCUCCUCUUCCAGGCGGAGAUAUAUUGUUUACAGAUGAUGUAAGCUUU
rnacentral:misc_RNA from 1 species